UACGUAGGGUGCAAGCGUUAAUCGGAAUUACUGGGCGUAAAGCGUGCGCAGGCGGCUAUGCAAGACAGAUGUGAAAUCCCCGGGCUCAACCUGGGAACUGCAUUUGUGACUGCAUGGCUAGAGUACGGGUAGAGGGGGGAUGGAAUUCCGCGUGUAGCAGUGAAAUGCGUAGAUAUGCGGAGGAACACCGAUGGCGAAGGCAAUCCCCUGGACCUGUACUGACGCUCAUGCACGAAAGCGUGGGGAGCAAACAGG
rnacentral:rRNA from 1 species